AAUUAUCUAGGAAGAAACUAGUCAGGUUAGUGGAAAAUAUAUUCAAUAAAACUAACUCGAAAUAGUAGAAUUAUAUUUUUAUUUUUCUGACCCAUUUGAGAUUAAUAGUAACUUAUCACUUGUCUAUACUGUCUCCAAUCCGUCCAAUUUAUUUUAUUUUUUUUAAUUUAACAAUCCAUCCUAUUUGAUAUCUGUGAACUGUAAUGAUAACUGCCACUCACUCCCACAUCGCAGCACUUGUCUCUGGCCCGGCGGAAGUCCACAUGUCCUGGCUACAAGUUCACUGAAAAAAAAAAAAAAAUCGAGCGUCCGUAAAGUUGGAAGUUCUUUUGCCUUCCCAAAACGGCAUGUCGUAUUUCCUUUGCUCGUGGCCAGAUCAGGCUAAAGAAAAAAGAGGGAGAAAGUGAACUUAACCUCAUGGGAUUCCAGGUCAUUGGCAGGAAAAAUUCUCACAUUUUCCUUUUUUAAAUUUUCUUCUCACAUCACGUCUAUUCCCAGCUACGAAAUUAGGGUUUUGAUUUCAUAAUUGCUGAAACUCUGUUGCCCUAUUGAUCUCCGGCAAUUUCUCAUCCUCUCUUUGAUCAGUCAUUUUCAGCCACAUAUUGCCCCUUCUUUGAAUGAGAUAUUCUGGGUUCUCUCUCGGCCAUCCCCCUUGAAGUUGAAUCCAACAAGGAGAAAAAGAAGAAAUGAAGCAUAAGAAAGUCAGGACGUGGUGAAGAUUUUCCCUAGUUAGAUUUUCAUACGUCUGCUUCUGCAAAGUAUCUUCUUAUUUCAGCAGUCAUUGCUUCAAGAAACCCUGCUACUCUUGAUGCAUCUUUGUUUGAUUCAACUGGUGGUUCAGAUAGUCACAAGCAUGAGAUGAAGCGAAAAACCGCAUUGUUAUUACUAUUUUACUAUGGGCUUUUGUGAAAUCAAUGGAGCAGAAGGAAGCUGCAGAACAGGAAUUACUUACGAACAGACCAGGAACAUUUCCACUGGAGAGGUUAUUAGCUAUAUUUCAAUCUAGAGCUUCUGUAGCAGAAGGUCCACUUGAUGAAGAACAUGAAAAUGAUGUGCUAAGAGUUGAAGGCUGGGAUAGUGGGGGCAUGCCGGAUGUUCUAAUGCAAUCUUCCAGCCUCUGUGAUGCUAUUGGCAUACAAUUACGGAAGAUUUGGCUUUGUAGACUUCGUCUGAAAUGGAUUGUAGGUAGCUAGAAGCCUGAAGUUUCCUUCGCCAAACUACUUGUACAGAAGAUAAUGUCUGAUGUGGCAUUAGGUAUGAUCUUCAAAAGAUCAACCAUAAGAAGCUUGAGUGGUAAUGGAGUCUCACUUUUUUAUGACUGCAUAUUCAGUGCAUCAACGUGACACAUUAUUAUGAAAUUAUUUACUAAUUAUUGUGAUCCACUACACUUGAAACGGGCUAUUUUGAAAAAGUUAAUUUACGAUCUGGCAAAAAAUAGUUCCUGGAAAGCCAAUGACCUGCUGUUCAUUCUUCAAUUUCUGCAAUGAAUGCC